CCUACGGGCGGCAGCAGUGAGGAAUAUUGGUCAAUGGGCGGGAGCCUGAACCAGCCAAGUCGCGUGAGGGAAGACGGUCCUAUGGAUUGUAAACCUCUUUAGGCGGGGAGCAAGGCCGGGCACGCGUGCCCGGAGGGAGAGAACCCGCAGAAGAAGCAUCGGCGAACUCCGUGCCAGCAGCCGCGGGAAUACGGAGGAUGCGAGGGUUAUCCGGAUUUAUUGGGUUUAAGGGGGGCGUAGGCGGAUUUUGAAGUCAGCGGUAAACUGUACGGGCUCAACCCGGGCCGGCCGUUGAAACUGGGGAUCUUGAGUGGGCGAGACGUAUGCGGAAUGCGUGGUGUAGCGGU
rnacentral:rRNA from 1 species